AUUGAACGCUGGCGGCAGGCCUAACACAUGCAAGUCGAGCGGUAACACAGAGAGCUUGCUCUCGGGUGACGAGCGGCGGACGGGUGAGUAAUGUCUGGGAAACUGCCUGAUGGAGGGGGAUAACUACUGGAAACGGUAGCUAAUACCGCAUAACGCCGCAAGACCAAAGAGGGGGACCUUCGGGCCUCUUGCCAUCAGAUGUGCCCAGAUGGGAUUAGCUAGUAGGUGGGGUAACGGCUCACCUAGGCGACGAUCCCUAGCUGGUCUGAGAGGAUGACCAGCCAGACUGGAACUGAGACACGGUCCAGACGCCUACGGGAGGCAGCAGUGGGGAAUAUUGCACAAUGGGCGCAAGCCUGAUGCAGCCAUGCCGCGUGUAUGAAGAAGGCCUUCGGGUUGUAAAGUACUUUCAGCGGGGAGGAAGGUGCUGAGGUUAAUAACCUCAGCAAUUGACGUUACCCGCAGAAGAAGCACCGGCUAACUCCGUGCCAGCCGCCGCCGUAAGAC
rnacentral:rRNA from 1 species